rnacentral:rRNA from 1 species
GACGAACGCUGGCGGCGUGCCUAAUACAUGCAAGUUGAGCGAUGAAGAUUGGUGCUUGCACCAAUUUGAAGAGCAGCGAACGGGUGAGUAACGCGUGGGGAAUCUGCCUUUGAGCGGGGGACAACAUUUGGAAACGAAUGCUAAUACCGCAUAACAACUUUAAACAUAAGUUUUAAGUUUGAAAGAUGCAAUUGCAUCACUCAAAGAUGAUCCCGCGUUGUAUUAGCUAGUUGGUGAGGUAAAGGCUCACCAAGGCGAUGAUACAUAGCCGACCUGAGAGGGUGAUCGGCCACAUUGGGACUGAGACACGGCCCAAACUCCUACGGGAGGCAGCAGUAGGGAAUCUUCGGCAAUGGACGAAAGUCUGACCGAGCAACGCCGCGUGAGUGAAGAGGGUUUUCGGAUCGUAAAACUCUGUUGGUAGAGAAGAACGUUGGUGAGAGUGGAAAGCUCAUCAAGUGACGGUAACUACCCAGAAAGGGACGGCUAACUACGU